GUGAAGAACGUAGCGAAAUGCGAUAAGUAAUGUGAAUUGCAGAAUUCAGUGAAUCAUCGAAUCUUUGAACGCACAUUGCGCCCGCCAGUAUUCUGGCGGGCAUGCCUGUUCGAGCGUCAUUUCAACCCUCAGGCCCCCAGUGCCUGGCGUUGGGGAUCGGCGCGGCGCCCUCCGGGGCGCUGCCGGCCCCGAAAUUCAGUGGCGGUCUCGCUGUAGCCCUCCUCCGCGUAGUAGCACAACCUCGCGGCCUGGAGCUCGGCGGUGGCCAUGCCGUAAAACACCCCACUUCUGAAAGUUGACCUCGGAUCAGGUAGGAAUACCCGCUGAACUUAAGCAUAUCAAUAAGCGGAGGA
rnacentral:misc_RNA from 1 species